AUUGAACGCUGGCGGAAUGCUUUACACAUGCAAGUCGAACGGCAGCACGGACUUCGGUCUGGUGGCGAGUGGCGAACGGGUGAGUAAUGUAUCGGAAAGUGCCCAGUCGUGGGGGAUAACGUAGUGAAAAUUACGCUAAUACCGCAUACGAUCUAUGGAUGAAAGCGGGGGAUCGCAAGACCUCGCGCGAUUGGAGCGGCCGAUAUCAGAUUAGGUAGUUGGUGGGGUAAAGGCCCACCAAGCCAACGAUCUGUAGCUGGUCUGAGAGGACGACCAGCCACACUGGAACUGAGACACGGUCCAGACUCCUACGGGAGGCAGCAGUGGGGAAUUUUGGACAAUGGGCGAAAGCCUGAUCCAGCCAUUCCGCGUGCAGGAUGAAGGCCCUCGGGUUGUAAACUGCUUUUGUACAGAACGAAGAGGUUUCUACUAAUACUAGGAGCUCAUGACGGUACUGUAAGAAUAAGCACCGGCUAACUACAUGCCAGCCGCCGCGGUAA
rnacentral:rRNA from 1 species